ACAAGGCUCUGGACUGUUUCUGCUCUUCAGAGAAUUCUGCCAUCUCUCUAAUGCACCAGCUGAAGUCACACCGCCAACACAAUGCAAAGAUCUUCUGCUGAGAUGGAGCUGGAGGAAACAACAGUGAAGUUGAACCAAUUGUCAAUCAGGAGACAGCAGCUAAAUGAGCGACACGCUAUUCUGACUAUGUUGAAAAAUUUUAGACAUCAAACAGGCCGAGGGAUAAUAGACACCAAGGAGGAAGCAGAGCUUGUGGCCAUUCAGAAUGAACUGGAUAUUCUAUCAGUGAAUAAGAAAGACCUGUUGGAGACACAAGAGAGGCUUGAUCGAAGACUGCAUAAGUCUGGUAAACUAUCAUGUUUUACCAUCUAUU